UUAAAAUAUUUCUUUCCAUUGUAUGUACACUUUCAAUAACUUUUUAAUUCAAUAUUCUUCUUUAACUUUUAUGUUUUUAAUUGCAUUAAAUUAAUUUAUACAUAAAACAAUAUUAUCAACAUUUAAAAGGAAAAAAAAUAAUAAAUAAAUAAAAUUUAUUUUAAAAAAAUGAAUUUUAAAAUCUUACUGCGACAACUUUAUGUCCGUCGAGCAAGGGUUUGGGGGUCGAACCCCAGUUUCGUCGCUCAGAGUAUCACUCGCAAUGAACACUCAUUUGUCGCUCUUCGUUUUGCGCAACGACCACCAAAUCCGUCGCGCAACAUUUAUUUCAUGUGACUAAGCACUUUCCUCCAUCGCACAAUGUUUGACGUCACGAGUUUUGCACGACAGAAUUUGCGCAACAUCCUCUUCGCACAAUGUUUCUGGUGACCGUAUUUUCCUUUGCGCGAUGGCUGUCCCUUUGUUGUCCAAAUAGUUGUGCUUAGUAGUGAAUAUGUGUACAUAAUAAUUUGCUCAACCAUGCAUUUCAAUUUGUAAUAAAUAGAAACACGCUCUUAACAACUAAGGUUCAUAUCGGGUAGUGACAUUAGACAGGUAUAUAUUUCAUUCACCAUAGCAUAAAACUGAAAUAGGAUAAUUGGUACAUCGUCUGAACUCAUACAAUCAUGCAGUUCAUAUAUUAGGGGUUAUAUAUUUGUUGAGAAUUAAUGUAUAUCAUAGGAGGAGAGAAUUUGUAUGGGACUUAUAAGCUAUGCUACUCUCCAUACGGUCAAUUGGUAUUAUGAUGAAAUCUUGACUUUUAUUAUGGUAGGUUGUGUAAUUCAAUGGCCACACGUGCUUCAAGUCACUCAUUUGUGUUGUCCAUGUACUUGGCUUGAAAAUUUGUCAUAUAUAUGAGAGGGUGUUUGUUAAUGAAAAUUUCCGCCGUCUUCAGCCUUGACGAAAAUGCACCUGCAAAACAAUCAACACCUUUGAUCAAAGACCUAAGCCUCACGCACCCACGAGGUGGGGGGGGGGGGUUAGGCCAAUGGAUCUUCGAUGCCUAAGUCAGUUUCUUUGAGAGACUAAAGUGUAGGCCUUUUUAGGGAUAACAAAAGCUCUGAAAAUUUGGUAGAAUAUGGCGUAUUUAUAGGGAUAGGGCCAGCCAUGGUGUUUAUGGAGAAAUAUUCUCUAAAUAUUCUCAAGAUAUUAAAUAGGAAAUAAUAUCUUGAGAUAAUGGUGUAAUUAUCCCUAAUUUAUUUAAAUUAGGAUUACUUACUUGAUUGGAGUCAAUCUUCAAAUGGAAAUGUAUUAAAGAUAGGAUUUGGGUAAUUAAUCCUUAUCUUUAAUUCCUUGCCAAGGGAGGUGAGCAGUGGGUAAUCGUAUUCAGUUGCUGGGACUUUCAGGGGUGUGAGCUGCACGUGGGAGUAUUUGAGAAGCCUGCCCAUUUAUUGAGGGCAAUCUUGUAUAUCUUGGAUAAAAGUCCAUUUGUCGCCUCUAGAAUUUUUGGGAUUAUUUAAGCUCCACAAAUGCCCCCACACAUAUUGUGUUGCAUACACAAAAAGGAUGGUAGGUGUAGAAAUCCUAAGCUGCUUAGGCUUGUAGAGUUGUUUCCCGAUUUGAACUUGAUCUUCUUUCUUGAUUUGGAGAUCGACUUCUUCUAGGAAAAGGAAACCAAUUGCCCCCAAUACCUAUUUAAUUCUACCUUAAGCAGGGGAUUAAAUAAAUUUGGAGAACAAUCAUUAUUCCAACAAGGAUGAGAAGCUAGAGGAAAUUUUUAAUCCCCUCCCCAAGCGUUCUUUUUUUCUUGCCCUUGCAAAGAGUCGUCUCUCGUUGUUGUUCUUCUUUUCCAUGUCACACCAAGGUAAGAAAAAAUUGAAUUUCUUAUUCUUGAAAUUUUUAGGAGUCUUGGGAAUUGAAAAAUUGGCUCGGCGGAUGCUGAGGAGGUGUG
rnacentral:lncRNA from 1 species